GCCUGGAAAGACUCUUAGACAUCACCUGGUCCCAUGCCUUCUCUUUAUAAAAGAGAAGCCUGGGGCCACAGAAGUUAAAUGACUUGGAUCGAGUUCACACAGAGAGCUAGUGGCAAAACCAGACCUAGUAGGCAUCCAUUCUUCAUCUACCAAGGAACAGCAAGGGAGGAGCCAGAACUUCACGCUAAAUGAGCUUGUUAUGAUUUACUUUGUGAAUAUCUCUCCAUAGAAAAGAAAGAGCCUCCAGCUCAUCCUGAAUAGGGAGCCAUCCGGAGAAGGAAACUUCCAGACAUUUCCCCUUUGAAUCUCCAAAGGAAGCAUUAAUCAAGCAAAAGAUGGGAAAUUAUGACAUCCAGCUCCAAAGGUUCAAUGUGAGUGGCCAAUGUGGGGUUGAUCAGAGGGGUCCAGGUGACGAUCCAUCAUGUGCCCAACCCUCGCCCACAUUACAACGUCUGGGUUAAUCAGGACGGUGGCCAAGAAUAAUAUUUUUUUGCUGAUGAUCAUAAUGCCUGUUACAAAAGGAAUUUCCCUGAAAACGGACUCCUCAAACAUCUGAGAAUUGGUCUUAAAUUAGUCUUAAAUUCCUUCAAAUAAAAGGAAUUUGACACAGAAAUAUACCGGAAAAGUCUAAUGAUGAGCCUCUAAGCCAAUCUUGUUUUACACAGAGGAGACGAUUUUGAGUAUGAAGACAAAAGGAAUUGUAUUGGAAAGAUUUUUUUUAAUUUAAUGUCGUCUUCUGUCCAAUCAUUUAAAAAGAGAAGGGUGGAUUCAGAGAAGUAAAUGGAGCAGUCAGAGACCAAGUCAUCAAUGGCUAGCAGAACCAGAUUUGAGCACCAUCUUCAGACCUCUUCCUGUGAUACCACAGCACCACUCCCAAGCACUGAAUCAAGUUGGCUUGCCAUAUGGAGUCACAAAUUCCAUUCCCCGAGAUGCCCUCAAAUCUGUGCAAGUCUAAAGGUGCAUUCACUUCAUUGGCAAGACUUGUAUACAUCUUGAUUAUUGAUCCACCAAGACUAUAAGCCACUCCUCAAAAUCCAAUCUUUGGCACUGAGAAAUUGCAUGAACUCUGCAAGGGCACUAAGACACCAGUGACUGAUUCCCUAAAUGAGACAUGAGAAACUCCUCUUUAAAAACUAGUGUGUACUUUGAUAAUUCAUUAGAUCGAGCAAAGGGACUGACACAUAAUUUGUACUUAAUAAAUACUUUAAUUGAAUGAUUGAUUUU